rnacentral:tRNA from 1 species
UCUGAGUUAGUUUAAUAGAAUAUAGGUUUGUCGUACUUAAGGUUUAGCUUAGAU